GAGGUGCAGCAGGGUAAGGGUCAGGGUUAUAAAAUCCAACAAGGCACCUCAGACUGGAAAAGUAUCAAAAGUAUCCUCCUCAAUUUAAAGGGUGUUUUUGUUAACAAUGCCAAGGACACUGGUUAAAUACUCCAACAACCACAUGUAUCACAGACUCUUAGUUUUCUGAUUCCUGCUCUUGACCUUGUGACGGACCACAGCAACAGUGGUGAAGAAGUUUCCCAUGAACAGAAUGAGGAAGCAGAGACCACACACCAUGACCUGGCAUUAAGAGAUGAAUACAUGAUCUGGGAGCCGCGCCACUCGGAAGAGAGAGAGGCUAUUGAAGAGCUGCCAGAACUACAAGACAAAACACGAGGACUUCAGGAUUUAUCUUGUAAAAAGUAAAUGAAUUGAUUUGCAGCUGUACAAACACAGACACGCUAAAGCUUAAGCUGUUAUUCAGAUAACCAUCAUCCUAAACACUGUCCCAAAUUGUGCCUAAGUCUAGAAUGACAUCAGCAUUUUCCAUCAGAUUUUUUUAUCUAGCCAUGACAAAGCAUAAUUUUUUAAGCUUAAACUCAGUUGUGAAUCAUCUCAGUGUCCAAGACUGUACUCACAUGACCAAAAAAGAGGAAGGGCAACAGAAACGUCAGCCCUUUCCACAUCCAAGAUUGAAAUCCCUCUGAAAGCAGAAAGCAGAAGAGUUUAAAUUGCUAAUGCAUUUUAUUUCAACAUCUGUUUAUUACAGCAGUGACAAUAAGCAGCCCCGGACAUGCCUGGGGAACAUCAAUAUUAAAGUAUGAUAUGCUUCGCUGAGUGUAUUGUGUCC